CCCUUAGAUGUUCUGGGCCGCACGCGCGCUACACUGAUGCAUUCAACGAGCCUAUCCUUGACCGACAGGUCCGGGUAAUCUUUGAAUCUGCAUCGUGACGGGGAUAGAUUAUUGCAAUUAUUAAUCUUCAACGAGGAAUGCCUAGUAGGCGCAAGUCAUCAGCUUGCGUCGAUUACGUCCCUGCCCUUUGUACACACCGCCCGUCGCUCCUACCGAUUGGGUGUGCUGGUGAAUUAUUCGGACUGCAACGUGUCCAGUUCUGGAUGCAGUUGCGGAAAGUUUUGUGAACCUUACCACUUAGAGGAAGGAGAAGUCGUAACA
rnacentral:rRNA from 1 species